rnacentral:rRNA from 1 species
GAUAAACGCUGGCGGCGUGCCUAACACAUGCAAGUCGAGGGGUAGAGGAAGCUUGCUUCCUUGAGACCGGCGCACGGGUGCGUGACGCGUAUGCAAUCUACCUUAUCCAGAGGGAUAGCCCAGAGAAAUUUGGAUUAAUACCUCAUAGUAUUAUGAAAUCGCAUGGUUUGAUAAUUAAAGUUCCAACGGUAUAAGAUGAGCAUGCGUCCCAUUAGUUAGUUGGUAAGUUAACGGCUUACCAAGACAAUGAUGGGUAGGGGUCCUGAGAGGGAGAUCCCCCACACUGGUACUGAGACACGGACCAGACUCCUACGGGAGGCAGCAGUGGGGAAUAUUGGUCAAUGGACGCAAGUCUGAACCAGCCAUGCCGCGUGCAGGAUGACGGUACUAUGGAUUGUAAACUGCUUUUAUACAGGAAGAAACACUCCCUCGUGAGGGAACUUGACGGUACUGUAGGAAUAAGGAUCGGCUAACUCCGUGCCAGCCGCCGCGGUAAAAC